rnacentral:rRNA from 1 species
CUGCGAAUGGCUCAUUAAAUCAGUUAUCGUUUACCUGAUAGUACCUUACUACACGGAUAUCUGUGGUAAUUCUAGAGUUAAUACGUGCUAAAAACCUCGACUUCGGAAGGGGUGUAUUUAUUAGACUAAAAACCAAUGCCCUUCGGGGCUCCUUGGUGAUUCAUAAUAACUCAACGAAUCGCAUGGCCUUGCGCCGGCGAUGGUUCAUUCAAAUUUCUGCCCUAUCAACUUUCGAUGCUAGGGUAGUGGCCUAGCAUGGUUACAACGGGUAACGGGGGAUUAGGGUUCUAUUCCGGAGAGGGAGCCUGAGAAACGGCUACCACAUCCAAGGAAGGCAGCAGGCGCGCAAAUUACCCAAUCCCGACACGGGGAGGUAGUGACAAUAAAUACUGAUACAGGGCUCUUUUGGGUCUUGUAAUUGGAAUGAGUACGAUUUAAACACCCUAACGAGGAACAAUUGGAGGGCAAGUCUGGUGCCAGCAGCCGCGGUAAUUCCAGCUCCAAUAGCGUAUAUUAAAGUUGUUGCAGUUAAAACGCUCGUCGUUGAACCUUGGGCCUGGGCGACCGGUCUCCCUCACCGGAUGCACUGGUUCGGCCGGGCCUUUCCUUCUGGGGAAUCGCAUGCCCUUCGCUGGGCGUGUCGAGGAUCCAGGACUUUUACUUUGAAAAAAUUAGAGUGUUCAAAGCAGGCCUUUGCUCGAAUACCUUAGCAUGGAAUAAUAGAAUAGGACGUGCGGUCCUAUUUUGUUGGUUUCUAGGACCGCCGUAAUGAUUAAUAGGGUCAGUUGGGGGCAUCAGUAUUCAAUUGUCAGAGGUGAAAUUCUUAGAUUUAUUGAAGACUAACUACUGCGAAAGCAUUUGCCAAAGAUGUUUUCAUUAAUCAGUGAACGAAAGUUAGGGGAUCGAAGACGAUCAGAUACCGUCGUAGUCCUAACCAUAAACUAUGCCGACUAGGGAUCGGGCGAUGUUAUCAUUUUGACUCGCUCGGCACCUUACGAGAAAUCAAGUGUUUGGUUCUGGGGGGAUAUGUCCAAGUG